GUUUUGGAUGGUGCCGCUCGCUAUUGGCUAGUGGCUCUUGUAGCACAGAUUUCUGGAUAACUCCCAGACAAUGGGAGGUAAAAAAGGGACGCAAGCCUGUCCCGAUACGGACCUCAUUUAAACACAAAUCUCGUUUAAACACAAAGAAAAAAGUUGCUUUACCUCCUAAAUAAGUGAAGGAACACCUUUAACAACUGAAUAUGGCAAGAGAAUGAUGGAGAGCUGCAUCAUGGCGGUGUGAGGGAAGGUGCAAGUGUGUGUCGGGCAGCCCAGAGAUGCUUGGCUUUCACCACCACCACCACCUCAUCUGCAACCUUCUCCACCACACCACACUCACGCAAUGCCAAUACCAGUGCCUGGGAAUAGAAACAGUUCCACCUUACACAGAAGCAAUAUGUUAACCUACACACUGGCACCUAAGCAUUAUAGGCCCAUGAAAACUGCAAGUGCUGUGUGAGGAUAUUAUCAAGAAGAUGUCUGGUGUGGGCAAGGCCAGCUGGGGCAGGAGAGGAAACAGGUUUGGCUGUGAUGAAGUUGAGUGUCUUAUGA
rnacentral:lncRNA from 1 species